UGGGGAAUUUUGGACAAUGGGGGCAACCCUGAUCCAGCAAUGCCGCGUGUGUGAAGAAGGCCUUCGGGUUGUAAAGCACUUUUGUCCGGAAAGAAAACGUCGUGGUUAAUACCCGUGGCGGCUGACGGUACCGGAAGAAUAAGCACCGGCUAACUACGUGCCAGUAGCCGCGGUAAUACGUAGGGUGCAAGCGUUAAUCGGAAUUACUGGGCGUAAAGCGUGCGCAGGCGGUCCGCUAAGACAGAUGUGAAAUCCCCGGGCUUAACCUGGGAACUGCAUUUGUGACUGGCGGGCUAGAGUAUGGCAGAGGGGGGUAGAAUUCCACGUGUAGCAGUGAAAUGCGUAGAGACGUGGAGGAAUACCGAUGGCGAAGGCAGCCCCCUGGGCCAAUACUGACGCUCAUGCACGAAAGCGUGGGGAGCAAACAGGAUUAGAUACCCUGGUAGUCCACGCCCUAAACGAUGUCAACUAGUUGUCGGGUCUUCAUUGACUUGGUAACGUAGCUAACGCGUGAAGUUGACCGCCUGGGGAGUACGGUCGCAAGAUUAAAACU
rnacentral:rRNA from 1 species